UGGAGCAUGUGGUUAAUUCGAAGCAACGCGAAGAACCUUACCAGGUCUUGACAUCCCCUGACAACCCAAGAGAUUGGGCGUUCCCCUUCGGGGGACAGGGUGACAGGUGGUGCAUGGUUGUCGUCAGCUCGUGUCGUGAGAUGUUGGGUUAAGUCCCGCAACGAGCGCAACCCUCGCCUCUAGUUGCCAGCAUUCGGUUGGGCACUCUAGAGGGACUGCCGGCGACAAGUCGGAGGAAGUGGGAUGACGUCAAAUCAUCAUGCCCCUUAUGACCUGGGCUACACACGUGCUACAAUGGGCGGUACAAAGGGCUGCGAACCCGCGAGGGGGAGCGAAUCCCAAAAAGCCGCUCUCAGUUCGGAUUGCAGGCUGCAACUCGCCUGCAUGAAGCCGGAAUCGCUAGUAAUCGCGGAUCAGCAUGCCGCGGUCGAAUACGUUCCCGGGCCUU
rnacentral:rRNA from 1 species